ACUUAAAUAAGCUUAAUUUGAAAAGUUAUAUCAAAUGGAGCCUAACUAAUCAUAAUUCUAUCUAAUAAAAGAUCAUUGCAUCUAUUACCAUAAUUUACCUAACAUUAAUUUUAAUUAACAAUACCUUUAUUAGUGAGAGAAUGAUAGAAUAUGUGCGUAAUUCUUUCUUUACUUAUUUCUGAAAAUACAGGUUUGUUUUGAUUUAAAAAUUAAAUAAAACCUAGAUAAUGAUUAAUGACUCUUUACUAUCAAAUAAUGUGCUUAUAUUGUGAUUCUUAUUCUGGAUAAGUAGUUUAUUUUAACGACCAAGGAUUAAAGGAGAUGGAUAUGCUUAUUAUGUGGUCUAUUAGUGAUAAUUAGUUUGAUUCACCAAUUAAAGAUUAUCUCUUUAUUCUUCAAUCUUUAGCUCCAAUUAUUGGGUUCCUUCUUAUCUGUUUCUUUACCUCGAUUUAUCUAUUUCAACUAAAUUUAUUCUCUGUAAUAUGACUCUGCAUGUGUUUCUUAUUUAUGAAUUAUUUAUUCGAUAAAUUAUUUCAUGGUAUUGUUGCUAGGUUGGCCUAACAUGGGAAAAAAGAGAAGUUAAAAGCCAGCAAUUUGCAUUAUGUGGUUGAAGAUUGUGAAGUAUUAAUAUUUUUCUGUAGUUGUUUUUUAAAAUUAGUGUGAUCUCCAUUUAUGUAUUGUAAUCUUUUUAUUUUUUUCAAUGUAUUAAAUCAUUUAGUAUUCGAACAUCAUAUUGGACCCCGAUUAAUCCUGAUUUGAGCCGAAUAAGACCACUGGGGCUCGAUUAAUCUAGAUUCGAGCCGAGUAGGACCACUAGAACGUCAAAGCUCUCCCAACAAAUAUUUAACGUAAUUGCAUUCUUAAGUUUCAAACCGAGAACCUUGGUUAAGUUAGAAUGUAUUCCCAAUAUUUAACGCAACUGCAUUCCCAAAUCUCGAACAAAGAUUGAUUAAGUUAUAACAUCUCUAUACCAGCUGAUCUACGCACUUGUUGGUAUAAAUGAAUGCUUUACUUUAGUUAUAAAUAAAAUAAAAUAAAAUAAUCGUCUUAAUAAAUAAUACCAAAUGUAAACCCUAGCUUCACCAACCAAAACGGAUGAAAAAUAAUAACAAACCUUCGGUUUCGGCUGAUGGUAAAAUUACAGAAGCAAAUCCGAACCAAAAACUUAGGUUAGGGCUCCAAAAUCAUGCAAGGAAAUUCGUUUCAUAUCUUUCAUCGAAGAAUAAAUUAAAUAAUUCAGACAAACAAGAUAUUAAAAUAUAUAGAAACUAUCUCUCUCUCUCUCUCUCUCUCUCUCAGCAUUUUUAGUAAGCUCCGCUUUGCUUUUAUUAAAUUACACAUCAAUUAAUUAAUGAAUUGCCUUCAUAUUAUUCAAGAAACAAAAGCAAUGAGAACAAGAAAUAUGUUGGCCCCGCGUUAUAUUUUAACACAAGCUUUAAUCAUUAUUUAACUCAUGUUACUAAGUGCAAGGAACAAUAUUAAUGGAAUAAAAUAAUUAAGGUGCAAUUGAUUAGUGUUAAUUUAGUCUUAGUUGCGUGUUAUGCGUGACGAGUAAGCAAAAACGAAGUUGAAUAGAAUUACUUAAUAAUUAGGAAGCGACAAUUAAGUUUUAUUAGUUGGAGGACGUUGGUUGCGAAUUGUGAAUCUAAUUGAUAUGGAUUAUUUAAUCAUGUAUCAGGGGAAUUAAUUUAAUUAAAAGUGUCGUAUUAGCCAUUUGAAAGACACGAAAUCUUUCGAAUCUCCAAGGCUGGCCGCCGGUGGGGUUCCAAGGGAAAUAAACAAUUAAUAAAGAAGCCUUGGAAGAGUGUGCAUGCCUGCUUUCUUUUUUAAGUAUUUUUAGAAAACAAAUAAAUCUAGGGCAACAGAAACAAUUCAAACGAGGAUGACCUGUUAUAUUUCUCCUUAUGUGUAAAAAUGAAGCACUUAUUUUCAAAAUGGGUAUUGAAUCAAACAAUGGCAAUGGCAUGCCCUUCAGGAGAUAUUGGAUAAGCCAUUAGAGGCAGUAGAUUCUUUGCAUGAAAAUAGAAAUGGGAAACAACUAAUGUUGGGAUUUCAAUUUGGUGUUUGCCCUUGAAAAGUCAUUAAUUACAUGCAAAAGUGAUAAUUAGCUAUACCAUAUUGCUUUUAUCAAUCAAUUAUAUAAGCUAACUAGGUCUAAUUUGGUGAGUGUUCAUGUGAAGAAACAGUUCGUAAAGUUGGUGGCCCUUUACCCUUUCACAAAUCAAAACUCCACAGGACAAAUUUUAAUUAUUAGGUGUUCCCUGGUUGAAUAUCAGCACAUUAGAAUUUUUGGAUCUAACGCCUUUCAAUGCCAUAAAUAGAGCUAGCGUCUCAUCUAAAGCUUUGUUUGGACCAUGUGCAUUAACAUGUGACCAUUGACGAUUCUAAAGAAAUUAAGUAACAGCUGAAUAACUAUUCUCAAUCAAAAUCAAAGAUUACAAAAAAGUCUAUUUAUGGCUCCUGAAUAAACGGUUUGGGUACUUAUAUUUUCUUCUUACUUCAUUUCUUAUUUGGAUAUCUUAUGGUGUAAGAAGACACAACCAUGCACAUUGACUCUUCUUGCAAUCAAGAAUCAACCAGAGACUUUUUAUUUGACAAGCAAAAAUCAAAUGCGGCUUCUCGCAGCGGAUUAACAAAAUCUUAGUUAUAAUAUUUUCUUUAAAACAAAAUUAUUUAACUUCUUUUGCGAGAGGGUAAAAGCUUGUUUAGUCCCCAUAUUAUAAGGUUAGUGUUCAUUUAGUCCCUGUAUUUUUAAAAACACCUCAAAACGUCCCUACUACUAAAUAUUGACACUUAUGCCAUUAUUAUUUUUUUAUUUUUAACUUGUUUUUACAAUAUUACAUUUUUACAAUAAUGUUUCUUUUUUGGAUAUUAAUAAAAAAUUAAAUUAUCAAAUUAAACUAAAAAAUAAAAUAAAAACAAAAAAGGUAUAUAUUAAUUUUUGUGGAAGCUCACGUAUGUCUAAAAAAUUAAUAUCGUAAAAAAUUACAUUAUCAAUUUUUUUAGAAAAAUUAAUAUUUUAACUCAAGAGUGUGUUCCACAAAAAUUAAUCUAUAUAUAUAUAUAUAUAUAUAUAUAUAUUUUUGGUGUUAAACUAGUAAUUUAUUUUUUUCUUUUUAAUAAUGUCUAAAAAAAUUAUUAUAAUAGGGUUAUUUUUUUCUUUUUAAUAAUGUCUAAAAAAUUAUUAUAAUAGGGCAAUAUUAUAAAAAUAAGUUAAAAGGAACAAAAGAUAAUGACAAAAGUGUCAAUAAUUUAAUGGUAGGGAUGGUUUGAGGUAUUUAAAAAAAUAUAGGGACUGAACGAGCUUUUACCCUUUGCGAGAUCCAAAAAUUGGAAGUUGCCUCAUGUGUGUCGAGGUAGUAAGUGGUCAUGAUCCAAUGAAUUUGCGCCGUGUAAAAUUAAAAUACGAAUCCUAAGCUUAAACCGAACCGACUUUCGGCCAAAAAAAAAAAAAUUAAUACUUAAAACCAAAAUUGGCCAUAAAUUAUAAUUAUAUUCAACACUUGGAUCGUGGUAAUAUAUAUAUAAUUGAAAUGAGCUUUUAGUUAGUUUAUUAAAAGAAAGAGAGAGGGGGGCAAAAUUUCAUAGAAGAAAAGGGCAACUUUGGCCGUUUGAUUAGUUAAGAAGUUGCUAACCUUUACAACCUUGAGAGAUUCCAAGGGUCAAUUGACCAAGAGUUUAGAGGUAGAGCCAUGCCCAUGCUACACCAAUAUUUUUUUUUAUUUGGUUGUUUAAUUUUGGAAACGCACUCACCAUUUAAGUAGUUGUUGCCAAUAUAUGUUUCUUUAUUAUCUAAUAAAUUUUCAUUUGAAACAAAAUUAAACAAAAAGAUACUUUAGGAAAACAAAAGGCAAAAGAAAAGAGAGCAUUGUCACUUUUUAAGUCUUUAGUGGGAUUAUUGCAUGAAUCACGAUUUCACGAGUUGUUUUGUAAGUAUAGAUAGGCAUAUGAUUCCUAUUUAGAACAAUAAAGUUGCAAUUGAAAAUGAAUUUUUUUGGCACGUGGAAGGCCUACACACACUUUAGUAAGAACACGAAAAGACUUUUAUCGGUAAAGAUGUUUUUUUUUUAUGGCUAUGGUUAUUUUGGUGCUGAUAUGGAGCACGAAUUUAUGUCAGACACACGCAAAAUGAUAAAUAAUAAAAAACACAUUAUAAUUUUGAUUGUAUACUUAUGAAUGAAUACUCUACCUCAGAGUAGUUUCAACAUAACCAGACCCCUUUUUUAUUUCUUACUUUAUAGAUGAUUUUCUUCUUUAAUUUUCACUUUUUCUAUAACACAAGAGAUUUUGUUUUUAUUUGACAUUCAAACAUGAUUUCUAAGGCUAUGGUAUCCCACAAAUUGGAUAUUGUCAUAUGAUAACAAAUUUAAUAGAAAUUAAUAAAAUACGACUAUUUAACGGUGUUUCAACUAUGAGAUAUAGUACUCCAUAAAUUCCACAGUAAAAACUUUACCACAAAUUUAAAACCAAUAAUUUAUAAUUUAAUUUAAUUUAUUUUUCUUAAACAUGAUACAUGUUGAUAAUAUUAUUGGGUGCUAGUUCAUGAACUUAAACUUUUAGAUUAUAACUAAGAUUAGUUUGCAUUAAUCUUAUGAAGAAGUCAAAAUAUAUUUGUUUUGAGAUGUGUGAAGAGUAAAUGUUCUCCCAUUAGGUCAAAAAUUAGAUAACAACAAGAGCUUUCAUUAAGCUUCUCUUUUCUUCAAUAAAAAUCCGUGCAAAAAUAGUUUUAAUUCUUGGGAGUGAGCUUAUAAAUAGUAGGGAAGCUUCUUCAUCAAAAUUUCCAGAUGCAUAUACCAUGAAAAAGAACCGAAGAAGUACACAUUCUUGACAAAGCAAAAAAUAUUUGUGCUAAUUUUGUUGCCGGGAGUGGGAUAGAUGGUGUGGGUGUUGGCUAUUUUUAAAUUAAGAAGUGGUAGGUUUUGUUAUAAGUAGUUGAUGAACCAUCGCUGCUGCUUCUGGGUAGCUCAAAAAAAGAUUCUAAGUGAAGUUUCAUUGGUUUACUUUCACUAAGAAAACAAAACAGUGAACAAUUUCUACUUCAUUUUCAUUCAUUAUCAUGAUGUAAACUACUACUCACACCAACUCAACAAGCACUGUUGAAAAUGACUACUAUGCAUCGGCUGUAUGGUUCAGCCCUCACAAAUAGUCACAAUCUCCCUUGAAAAGUUCAGACUUUCGGCUACCCUCUUCAAAUUUCAUUCGUGACCCUCCACUUAUAAUAUAUUUUUGUAUAUUGCGCGAAAACUUAAGAUGUCAGCAAUGGAAUACUUCAAAUUUUCAACGGAGAGAGCAAGGAGUAGUUGACGUGUGAGCACAACUGGUGUUCUGUAGUUGUUGUAGGCACACACCUUGAAUGGUAACUUUCUUCCAAGCUAUUAAUUCAAAAAGCAAUCUUGUAAAAGUAGGGCAUUGGCGUUGAGGAAUGGCUCGUGUAUCACGACUGUGAUGGUGAUCUUUGAAUAUAUUCAUUUUCAAGAUUGUGGACUUCAGAUUUUCUUUAACACACCAACCUUCGUUGGCAUUAAAAAAAAAUGUGUAUGUUGGUUUGGUGAGAUAUGUUGGAUUAAUUAUCAUUAAUUGACUGAUCAAUAAUUUGUGAAUGCUCACAAUUUUCUUUUUCUCAUUCUUUUGCUUCAGCUUUUAAUAAGCUACAGCCUACAAGGACAGAAAUUAUUAAACACUGUCACCUCAGACUUGGCCCAUAGCUUCAGCCUCCAUGCAUUAUUCAGAGAUGCAGACAGAUCUUUUGUCUUGACAUUGAUUUGCUUGUUUGUUGAUUUAAUUUCUGAUAUUUCAAUCAAAGUUUCGUCGGCUUGGGAAACAAGUUUUGGUAGUUGAAGGACAUUUCUCUACUUGGGGGUAGGUAGGUAACUAAAA
rnacentral:lncRNA from 1 species